AACAGCAAGGCAAAGGCCUGGGGCAGGUGAAAGGGCCUCGUUGGCCUUGCGGAGGACCGAGGACCCGUGCAUGGACGAGCGGCUGGCACUGCCUGGCAGCUACGGGGGCACCGGAGGAGGACGUCCGGGCCACUGCAGGGAUCCACGCAGGAGCCACGGAGGGGCCAGAUUCUAGAUCUGUCUCAACACAGGAGAGCCAAGACUUCCAUCUACAUCUGAGUAAUAGUUAUGAAAUGUUGAUUUUAGACACAUCCACGGGCCUUAUUUAGGUACUUCCCACAAUCAGUCAUGGAACCAAGAAGGGCCCAGAGUCUAUCGGAACCUUCCCAGGACUUUUCCCAGCGUAGAAGUGAGGAUGAACUGGGCUGAGUGUUCACAAAGCAGCGAGGGUCUCCCCCACCUGGCACGGUCCGCUCAAUCCCCACCUGCUGUGGGUUGGCCAGAGGCACAGACAAAGGUUCCCAGGACUCUUGCACCAGCCCCGUGGGGACGACUGUGCUUUUGUGGGACGUGCCGGUCAAACCUGCUCGCCCGCUGCUGCUCAGCCGAGACUGUGACGGUGCAAAGUCCUCACUUCUCAGUGACAGGAAGGGAGGAAGGACUCUCGUCCCUGGACUGGGGCCUACCUUGAUGACCUCAACUUGGUGACAGCGGCAAAGACCUAGUCCCAAAUACGGCCAUACUCACAGUGACCAAACUUUGAGCUUUGGAGCAAGUCCCACGGCUUGAAACAGCCGUCAGGUCAUCUUGGCACCAGUUUGGCUUCAAUUCCAUCCCACCUGGCACCACACCUGGCUCUGGAGACACCGGAGCAGAGGGGCCACCGGAUCCCCUCCUGCUGCAAGGACCUCCUGCAGAAACGAGUCCCAGCG